CCUACGGGAGGCUGCCGUGGGGAAUAUUGGACAAUGGGGGGAACCCUGAUCCAGCCAUGCCGCGUGUGUGAAGAAGGCCCUCGGGUUGUAAAGCACUUUCAGUGAGGAAGAACGCCUGGUGGUUAAUACCCAUCAGGAAAGACAUCACUCACAGAAGAAGCACCGGCUAACUCCGUGCCAGCAGCCGCGGUAAUACGGAGGGUGCGAGCGUUAAUCGGAAUUACUGGGCGUAAAGCGCGCGUAGGUGGCUUGAUAAGCCGGUUGUGAAAGCCCCGGGCUCAACCUGGGAACGGCAUCCGGAACUGUCAAGCUAGAGUGCAGGAGAGGAAGGUAGAAUUCCCGGUGUAGCGGUGAAAUGCGUAGAGAUCGGGAGGAAUACCAGUGGCGAAGGCGGCCUUCUGGACUGACACUGACACUGAGGUGCGAAAGCGUGGGUAGCAAACAGGAUUAGAUACCCCUGUAGUC
rnacentral:rRNA from 1 species